GACGAACGCUGGCGGCGUGCCUAACACAUGCAAGUCGAACGGAAAGGUCCGGCUCUUGUUGGGUGCUCGAGUGGCGAACGGGUGAGUAACACGUGAGUAUCCUGUCCUUGACUUUGGGAUAACUUUACGAAACUCCGGCUAAUAUCGCAUAGGAGCUCCUGCUGCAUGGGGGGGGUUGGUAAGUGUCGGCGGUUGGGGAUGUACUCGCGGCAUAUCAGCUUGUUUGGCGGGUAGUGGCUUACCAAGGCUUUGACGGGUAGCCGGCCUGGGAGGGUUAACGGCCACAUUGGUCCUGAGAUACGGCGCAGAAGCCUACGGGAGGCAACAGGGGAGAGUAUUACGCAAUAGGCCGAAGCCUGAGGCAACAGCGACGCGUGCGGGAUAACGGGCUACGGGUUGUGAACCAAUGUCGACUGUGACGAAGCGUGCGUGACGGUAAUGGGUAAAAAAGCAACGGCUAACUACGUG
rnacentral:rRNA from 1 species